GAGCACUGGCGUUUCCUGAGCACAAGCAAAUGCCUGACACAUGGACUUCGCCGAAUUCCAAAAUGUAGCAAAACAGUGCCUGCAUAUUUGGCAGGAAUCACCACCAGUUCAGGUCAGUGUCUGUUUCAGCAGAAGACGAAGCCCUGCAUGUUAACAGAGGAAAAUAAUUCAGAGGAAAAGGGGAGGACCAACAUGUGACAUUUUAUCCCAGACUGUCCACCCUGCUCUCAGGAGAGAAUGAUAAAGCAGUUUUGUGAAGUAAUAGACAGAGCUUGGAAAUGGUGACAAACACAAGAGACUUCUCAAUGACCUUGGGGAAGUUUAGUAACUGUUCUGUGCCCUACUGAAAUGUGGAGACAAUGCUCGUAUGAGUGCUUUUUUACUAAACCUUCAAGAACAAUGUCCUUUCCUGGCGGGUGAUACAUCGAAACCACAAGUGCCAGAGGGGAAAAAAACUGCUAUUGAAAUAUGUGAAGAUAUGAAUGCCAGACUGUUCACUUAACUUAUACAUUCAAAAAUAUCUACUUUGUCCUUCCGAGAGUGAAAGGGCUGCUUUGACAUAAUUGUGGUCUCUUAUAUGAUGUUAAUCCAUAGUGUCAAAGCCAUUAUAAUUCUAGUUCAGGUGUGCAUAUUUUAAAAAAGAAUUCUAAGAAAAACUUAUUUUACAUACUCAGCCACUGACAUUUUUAUGUUAAUGUUGGGUUUAAUUUCUAAAAAAAUUAGAAAUAUGGCACUAUAGGGAACUAUUGGAUUUAGUAAAUCUGCUGGCUAUAAAAUUCCUUUUCAAAGGAGUAAACUUCUUUAUAAUCCAACUCUAGUAAACUAGUUAUUUUCCACAGGAUGUUAGCAUUCAUGAAAUGUAUUGGAUUUACAAUUCUAGAACACAUGAUUGCUCAAAGAAAGCAUUAGUGUAAACAAUAAAAAGGUCUUCAGAUUGCUCUGCUAAUAAAUAUCUUGGCCUCAGUUUGCUGUAACUGUCUAGUUUCAAUUUGCUCUUCGUGUCCACUAUCUGCUUAAACUCUCAGAUGAAAUUAAUUGUUCUUUUCGUUUUUUAUAAUCUUUAUACCUGUUCAUUAGGAGUUGUACGGAGUCAUGAUCAAAUUUAUGUUGUUCGUUCUUUUAGAGCAACCAAGAACAAGAAUCUGAUUUCAUCCACAGACAAGACAUUUCUUGUCUA